AGCUGAGCUCCACAACAGACACCUACAGGAAGUGAGUGAGACAUCAUCGCACUCCACGGGAACAAUAACUGUACCAAAACAGACAUGAUAGAAAACAUGUGGCAGGCAGACCAUACAAAAUAAACAAGUUCAGUUUGAGUUGGCUCAGGACUCGAACUGUCACACUCAUCUGUUCAGCGAUUAGAUGUGGACAUUGGUGGAAAGGCCAGUAUUUGUUGUCCAUCCCCAAUUGUCUUGAGCUGAGUGACUUGCUCAGCUCUUUCAGAGAGCAGUUGAGAGGCAACCACAUUGCUGUGAGUCUGGAGUCACACACAGGCCAGACCAGGUCUUCCAGCUCUGAAGGAGUUCUGUGUUAUUGGAACUGCCACCUUGGAUGAGAUGUUGAAUAUUUUUCAGAUGGUGGUAUUUUACAGCAUCUAUCAACUGGGAAUCUAUGAGAAAAAAACCUCAAAGAACUGCAAAUGCAGGAAAUCAGAAAAAAAAAUCAGUAAUUGCUGUAAAAGUUCAGCGGGUCUGACAACAUCUGUGGAGAGAAAGCAGAGUUUCGAGUUCAGUGACUCUUCCGCAGAACUGUUCUUCAGAAUACUGAUACUGCCAGAAUUGCUGAAUGUUUCCAACAAUUUUUGAUUUAAGAAUCUUCGAGACAUAGCCAGGGAUAUCCUAAAAAGGGACCUAGAUUUCUGAAAAAUGAAAGAAAAUCUAAAGAGAACAGGAAAGUGAAAUAAAAUGCUUCUACAGAAGUGCAGUACUUUCACAAAAAUUCUAGAGAAAGAACAUGCUGACUGGAUGAAAGGAAGAAGACAGAAUAGAAAAGUUAGAGGAAAUAAAUAAUUUACAGCUGUCAGACUGAAACAAAAGUGACAGCAUAUCUAAAAGGAAAUUAUAGUUAAAUACAGAUGUAGUAAAUUAUCAGCUGGUAGCAUUAUUCUGAUUCCUUUUUCUCUGUUUUUUGAGAGCAUUGUCUCCUUUACACACUCAUUGAAGUAGCAUCAGCCCAACAACAGUAUAAAAAGGUUAAGAAGUUACUGUAUUAAAAGCUAAGAGCUCCUUCAACUUAAAUGUGAUAUUUUGAAACUUCAGUGUUCAUAUAAUGCAUAUUAAGUUCUUUCCCAACACAUAAGUGAUUUUGAUAUUUAAAGGAAAACCAUCAUUGCAAGUCACAAAGUGGCAAUCAUUCUGAAGCUGCAGGUUAAGGACUGACACAUUGAUAAGUAAUAAAAUGCGCAGCAAAUUCUAUUGAGACUGCCAUCAUGAGAUAAUUCCCAGUAUUUUUACGUGACAGGAUGAUGUUGCAGUCGAAAAAACGUUCACAUGUUAUAAUCACUUAACAUGUUAGGAAUUGGAAGGAUUCAAAAUUGUCUUGAAGGUAGGAGACAGCAUAGUGGUAGAAGGUUGCUUUUCAGACUGAACGCCCGCGAUGUGCC